rnacentral:rRNA from 1 species
CAAUAGCGUAUAUUAAAGUUGUUGCGGUUAAAAAGCUCGUAGUUGGAUUUCUGCUGAGAACGACCGGUCCGCCCUUUGGGUGUGUAUCUGGCUCUUUCUUGGCAUCUUCUUGGUGAACGUUGCUGCACUUGACUGUGUGGAGCGCUACCCAGGACUUUUACUUUGAGGAAAUUAGAGUGUUUCAAGCAGGCAUACGCCUUGAAUACAUUAGCAUGGAAUAAUAAGAUAGGACCUCGGUUCUAUUUUGUUGGUUUCUAGAGCUGAGGUAAUGAUUAAUAGGGACAAUUGGGGGCAUUCGUAUUAACGCGUCAGAGGUGGAAUUCUUGGAUUGCGUUACGACGAACUACUGCGAAAGCAUUUGCCAAGGAUGUUUNCAUUG